UAUUAGAUACCCUGGUAGUCCACGCCGUAAACGAUGUCGAUUUGGAGGUUGUGCCCUUGAGGCGUGGCUUCCGGAGCUAACGCGUUAAAUCGACCGCCUGGGGAGUACGGCCGCAAGGUUAAAACUCAAAUGAAUUGACGGGGGCCCGCACAAGCGGUGGAGCAUGUGGUUUAAUUCGAUGCAACGCGAAGAACCUUACCUGGUCUUGACAUCCACAGAACUUUCCAGAGAUGGAUUGGUGCCUUCGGGAACUGUGAGACAGGUGCUGCAUGGCUGUCGUCAGCUCGUGUCGA
rnacentral:rRNA from 1 species